AUUGAACGCUGGCGGCAUGCUUUACACAUGCAAGUCGAACGGCAGCGCGGGCUUCGGCCUGGCGGCGAGUGGCGAACGGGUGAGUAAUACAUCGGAACGUGCCCAGUAGUGGGGGAUAGCUCGGCGAAAGCCGGAUUAAUACCGCAUACGACCUGAGGGUGAAAGCGGGGGAUCUUCGGACCUCGCGCUAUUGGAGCGGCCGAUGGCAGAUUAGCUAGUUGGUGGGGUAAAGGCCUACCAAGGCGGCGAUCUGUAGCUGGUCUGAGAGGACGACCAGCCACACUGGGACUGAGACACGGCCCAGACUCCUACGGGAGGCAGCAGUGGGGAAUUUUGGACAAAGGGCGAAAGCCUGAUCCAGCAAUGCCGCGUGUGUGAUGAAGGCCUUCGGGUUGUAAAGCACUUUUGGCGGGAACGAAAAGGACUGUGCCAAUACCACGGUUCGAUGACGGUACCCGCAGAAUAAGCACCGGCUAACUACGUG
rnacentral:rRNA from 1 species